GCGGGUGUGGCGGAAUUGGCAGACGCACCAGAUUUAGGAUCUGGCGCCGGCGAGGCGGUGGGGGUUCAAGCUCCCUUCACCCGCAC
rnacentral:tRNA from 1 species